rnacentral:rRNA from 1 species
AUCUUCCGCAAUGGACGCAAGUCUGACGGAGCAACGCCGCGUGAGUGAAGAAGGCCUUCGGGUUGUAAAGCUCUUUCGCGAGGAAAGAAAACUUACCCUCUAACAUAGGGUGAGGCUGACGGUACCUUGAGAAGAAGCACCGGCUAACUACGUGCCAGCAGCCGCGGUAAUACGUAGGGUGCGAGCGUUAAUCGGAAUUACUGGGCGUAAAGCGUGCGCAGGCGGUUUUGCAAGUCAGAUGUGAAAGCCCCGGGCUCAACCUGGGAACUGCGUUUGAAACUGCAAGGCUAGAGUAUGGGAGAGGGAGGUAGAAUUCCACGUGUAGCAGUGAAAUGCGUAGAGAUGUGGAGGAAUACCAAUGGCGAAGGCAGCCUCCUGGCCUAAUACUGACGCUCAUGCACGAAAGCGUGGGGAGCAAACAGG